GGUGGCUCUGUUGUAGAGCACUUGCCUUGCAUGCAUGAGGCCCUGGGUUCAAUUCCUCAGCACCA
rnacentral:tRNA from 1 species